UACGGGGGGGGCAAGCGUUGUUCGGAAUUACUGGGCGUAAAGGGCGCGUAGGCGGUUCGCUAAGUUGGAUGUGAAAACUCUGGGCUCAACCCAGAGCCUGCAUCCAAAACUGGCGGGCUAGAGUUCUGGAGGGGGUAGCGGAAUUCCUGGUGUAGCGGUGAAAUGCGUAGAUAUCUGGAGGAACACCGGUGGCGAAGGCGGCAUCCUGGACCGGCAUUGACGCUGAGGAGCGAAAGCUAGGGGAGCAAACGGG
rnacentral:rRNA from 1 species